GGUUCGCAUUGUAAUUUGUAGAGGAUGAUUUGGGGAAGCCGCCUGUCUAAGUUCCUUGGAACAGGACGUCAUAGAGGGUGAGAAUCCCGUAUGUGACAGGAAAUGGCACCCUAUGUAAAUCUCCUUCGACGAGUCGAGUUGUUUGGGAAUGCAGCUCUAAAUGGGAGGUAAAUUUCUUCUAAAGCUAAAUAUUGGCGAGAGACCGAUAGCGCACAAGUAGAGUGAUCGAAAGAUGAAAAGCACUUUGGAAAGAGAGUUAAAAAGCACGUGAAAUUGUUGAAAGGGAAGCGCUUGCAAUCAGACUUGUUUAAACUGUUCGGCCGGUCUUCUGACCGGUUUACUCAGUUUGGACAGGCCAGCAUCAGUUUCGGCGGCCGGAUAAAGGCUCUGGGAAUGUGGCCUCCACUUCGGUGGAGGUGUUAUAGCCCAGGGUGUAAUACGGCCAGCCGGGACUGAGGUCCGCGCUUCGGCUAGGAUGCUGGCGUAAUGGUUGUAAGCGACCCGUCUUGAAACACGGACCAAGGAGUCUAACAUCUAUGCGAGUGUUCGGGUGUCAAACCCCUGCGCGUAAUGAAAGUGAACGGAGGUGGGAACCCGCAAGGGUGCACCAUCGACCGAUCCUGAUGUCUUCGGAUGGAUUUGAGUAAGAGCAUAGCUGUUGGGACCCGAAAGAUGGUGAACUAUGCCUGAAUAGGGUGAAGCCAGAGGAAACUCUGGC
rnacentral:rRNA from 1 species